GCAAGUCGAACGGCAGCACGGUAAGAGCUUGCUCUUAUGGGUGGCGAGUGGCGGACGGGUGAGGAAUACAUCGGAAUCUACCUUUUGGUGGGGGAUAACGUAGGGAAACUUACGCUAAUACCGCAUACGCCCUUCGGGGGAAAGCCGGGGACCAGCAAUGGCCUGGCGCUGAUAGAUGAGCCGAUGUCGGAUUAGCUAGUUGGUGAGGUAAUGGCUCACCAAGGCGACGAUCCGUAGCUGGUCUGAGAGGAUGAUCAGCCACACUGGAACUGAGACACGGUCCAGACUCCUACGGGAGGCAGCAGUGGGGAAUAUUGGACAAUGGGCGCAAGCCUGAUCCAGCCAUACCGCGUGGGUGAAGAAGGCCUUCGGGUUGUAAAGCCCUUUUGUUGGGAAAGAAAAGCAUUCGGUUAAUACCCGGGUGUUCUGACGGUACCCAAAGAAUAAGCACCGGCUAACUUCGUGCCAGCAGCCGCGGUAAUACGAAGGGUGCAAGCGUUACUCGGAAUUACUGGGCGUAAAGCGUGCGUAGGUGGUGGUUUAAGUCCGUUGUGAAAGCCCUGGGCUCAACCUGGGAAUUGCAGUGGAUACUGGAUCACUAGAGUGUGGUAGAGGAUAGUGGAAUUUCCGGUGUAGCAGUGAAAUGCGUAGAGAUCGGAAGGAACAUCUGUGG
rnacentral:rRNA from 1 species